GUUUUCACAAGUGUAUGCCUCACCUUCAGUGCUAGCACCUGUGCCUCUUGCUGUGGCUUGAAUGCUUUUAAAAGCAUAUGAUUCAGGCUCAUCCCCUUUGCUGGUCCCUGGGCCCUUGCUACAGCGGAAGCAGGCUAACCUCUGUUGGGAAGAAUGUAAUCUGGGCCUCACGGCAGUCAGGUGGCAGCCAUCCUGUAGUAAGUCCAUGGAAGCUUUACCUAGCUUGUUCAGAGUCUGAGCACUCUUUUUCCUCCUAGCAGUUGGAAUUGGACUACCUUCUAUGGUCUAGCAUGCUCCUGUUCCUGAGAUACCUAGUUGACUCAAUCUGGAAAGUGGCUGCAUUUGUGAGUACUCCAGGAGAAUUUUCUGUGUCUGGAAAUAUUUAUUGUACUGUCUAACAUUCCACCUGCUCCAAAAGUGUUUUGAAAGGAAAAGAUCUUAAAUCUGAAGAAACCUGCCCUUUAUAAUGAUUGAGUGACGCUAAAUUCUGAGCUCCAAAUAUUGUCCAGGAAGAACCAGUGGAGGAUGAGCGCAGUUGAGUUCAGCUCCACCAUGCACUCUCCAGCUCCUGCCCUGGUCUUGACACACAGCCAAACUCACCUAUACAUACUUGCUUCUAACUCCUUGUUUUGGGAAACAUCUGCCCUGCAUGGUGGCUCACAUAGCAUGCUGAACUUUGGCUUUGCUACAGUUGAUGAGCUGCAUCACCUUGGAGUACCAUAGCCUCUGGAAAUUAAACAACUCGUACUGUUGGAAGAUCAUCUUAUAGAAAAGUCAGUUCUUUGCGUAAAUUAUAAACCCAUAAAUAUUUGAGUUAGACAUGCACUCCAAAUGAUCUGAGUAUCAGAAACGUAUUUCAAGAGUUCUUCAAUUUCAAAAGAGAAGCAAUCUUUAGUUUUGCAAUCUAUAUUCAAUGUAUACUUGAAGUAAUCAUUGUUAGUUAAGAUGCUUACUGUUUUAACACUCAUUUGUAAUAGUGUCUCUAAUUAUUCUAUUUUGCUGGCUUCAUCUUCUUCAGAAAAUCUGUCCAAUCAUCCUAUUUACUAAAUUCUUUAUGCCGCUAAUGAUCUUUUUCAUUCUUAUGCUACUUACAUCUUGGCUUAAUCACAUUGACUUAUCUUGUGUCGUUCCAAUGCUUAAAUUUUAUUGCACUAUAAGCCAUACCUUUCAUGCAUCAUAUCCUUGAUAAAUUAUUUGUAAUUUUUUGAGAACCAACGUUCUCUAUUUUAUGAUCUCAAAGUGUGAAGUCUUACUUGGUAAAAUCAGUCAGGUUUUAGACAGUAGCUUCCUUAUUCUGCUUUUUAUGAACUUUUCCUGCUACAAUGUACAAUAUUAAGUAACUGUCCCAUCUGAAAAAUAAAGUACAUGUCCAAAGUUGUACGCUCACAAGAA